rnacentral:rRNA from 1 species
CCUACGGGUGGCAGCAGUGAGGAAUAUUUGUCAAUGGCCGGAAGGCUGAACCAGCCAUGCCGCGUGAAGGUCAGUGCCCUAUGGGCGUUAAACUUCUUUUGUGCGGGAGCAAUAAUGGUCACGUGUGGCCAGACGAGAGUACCGUACGAAUAAGCAUCGGCUAACUCCGGGCCAGCAGCCGCGGUAAUACGGGGGAUGCAAGCGUUAUCCGGAUUUAUUGGGUUUAAAGGGUGCGUAGGCUGUGAGGUAAGUCAGCGGUGAAAUGCCCCGGCUCAACGGGGUGAAGUGCCAUUGAUACUGCCUGGCUGGAAUGCGGAUGCCGUGGGAGGAAUGUGUGGUGUAGCGGUGAAAUGCAUAGAUAUCACACAGAACACCGAUUGCGAAGGCAUCUCACGAAUCCGCGAUUGACGCUGAUGCACGAAAGCGUGGGUAUCAAACAGGAUUAGAUACCCUUGUAGUC